rnacentral:lncRNA from 1 species
CCGGGGCCGGGGAGCCGCCCGCCACGCCCGCGGGGCUGGGCUCGGGGGGAGACCGCGUCUGCUUCAACUUGGGCCGUGAGCUCUAUUUCUACCCAGGCUGCUGUCGUCGUGGGAGCCAACGGUCCAUUGACCUCAACAAGCCAAUUGACAAGCGGAUCUACAAGGGCACCCAGCCCACCUGCCACGAUUUCAACCAGUUCACUGCUGCCACCGAGACCAUCUCGCUGCUGGUGGGCUUCUCAGCGGGUCAAGUGCAGUACCUGGAUCUCAUCAAAAAGGACACCAGCAAGCUGUUCAAUGAGGAGGCGGAGUCUCACUCUGUCGCCCAGGCUGGAGUGCAGUGGUACAAUCUCGGGUCACUGCAACCUCCGCCUCCCAGGUUCAAGCAAUUCUCCUGCCUCAGCCUCCUGAGUAGCUGGGACUACAGGUGCGCACUAUCAUACCUGGCUAAUUUUUUUUUUUGAGAUGGAGUCUCGCUCUGUCGCCCAGGCUGGAGUGCAGUGGCGCGAUCUCGGCUCACUGCAACCUCUGCCUCCCGGGUUCACGCCAUUCUUCUGUCUCAGCCUCCCCAGCAGCUGGGACUACAGGCGCCCAGCACCACGCCCAGCUAAUUUUUUUGUAUUUUUAGUAGAGACGGGAUUUCACCGUGUUAGUCAGGAUAGUCUCGAUCUCCUGACCUCGUGAUCUGCCCGCCUCGGCCUCCCAAAGUGCUGGAAUUAAAGGCGUGAGCCACCACACCCGGCCAAUUUUUGUAUUUUUGGUAGAGAUGGGGUUUCACCAUGUUGGCCAGGCUGGUCUCAAACACCUGACCUUGUGAUCCGCCCACCUCGGCCUCCCGAAGUGCUGGGAUUACAGGCAUGAGCCACCGCGCCCGGCCAUUCUUUGAGUUUUCAUCAACCAGUGGAUACAGAAGUGUGCUGCCCAUUUUGCAGAUUAGAGAAUUGAGGCUAGUAAAUAAGUCGGGACUUAGUUGAUGCCCUUGCUCUUUGAGUUCUGGGCUCUGGAGGCUUUGGAUUCAAAGCCCUGCUGCACCAUUUACUCAUCAUGUGACUUUGGGAAGGUGACCAUUCUCUGAGCCUCACUUCUCCUCCUCUGCAAAAUGGGAUUCCAGUUCCUACCUUGCAGGACCGCUGUUGUAGAAUCAUACAUGGAGAUUGCUCAGUCCUGGGCCAACUUGGCCUACGAGGAGAUACCAGUAAACGAC